GGCCUGGGUAGGUAAUGAAUGUCGUAGGCCUGGGCAGAUCAUGAAUGUUGCGGGCCUGAAUGUCGUGGGCCUGGGUAGGUAAUGAAUGUCGUGGGCCUGGGUAGAUCAUGAAUGUCGCGGGCCUGACUGUCGUGGGCCUGGGUAGGUAGUGAAUGUCGCGGGCCUGGGUAGGUAAUGGAUGUCGUGGGCCUGGGUAGAUAAUGAAUGUCGUGGGCCUGGGUAGAUAAUGAAUGUCGUGGGCCUGGGUAGACAAUGAACUUUGUGGGCCUGGGUAGAUAAUGAAUGCUGUGGGCCUGGGUAGAUAAUGAAUGUCGUGGGCCUGGGUACAUAAUGAAUGUCGCGGGCCUGGGUCGGUAAUGAAUGUCGCGGGCCUGAAUGUCGCGGGCCUGGGUCUGUAAUGAAUGUCGUGGGCCUGGGUAGGUGAUGAAUGUCGUGGGCCUGAAUGUUGUGGGCCUGGGUCGGUAAUGAAUGUCGUGGGCCUGGGUAGGUAAUGAAUGUCGUGGGCCUGAAUGUUGUGGGCCUGGGUAGGUAAUGAAUGUCGUGGGCCUGAAUGUCGCGGGCCUGGGUCGGUAAUGAAUGUCGUGGGCCUGGGUAGGUAAUGAAUGUCGUGGGCCUGAAUGUUGUGGGCCUGGGUAUGUAAUUAAUGUCGUAGGCCUGGGUAGAUCAUGAAUGUUGCGGGCCUGAAUGUCGUGGGCCUGGGUAGGUAAUGAAUGUCGUGGGCCUGGGUAGAUCAUGAAUGUCAUGGGCCUGAAUGUCGUGGGCCUGGGUAGGUAAUGAAUGUCGCGGGCCUGGGUAGGUAAUGAAUGCCGUGGGCCUGGGUAGG
ensembl:lncRNA